AACGAACGCUGGCGGCAGGCCUAACACAUGCAAGUCGAGCGCCCGUAGCAAUACGGGAGCGGCAGACGGGUGAGUAACACGUGGGAACGUGCCCAAAGGUACGGAACAACUCCGGGAAACUGGAGCUAAUACCGUAUGUGCCCGAAAGGGGAAGAUUUAUCGCCUUUGGAUCGGCCCGCGUCUGAUUAGCUAGUUGGUGAGGUAAUGGCUCACCAAGGCGACGAUCAGUAGCUGGCUGAGAGGAUGAUCAGCCACACUGGGACUGAGACACGGCCCAGACUCCUACGGGAGGCAGCAGUGGGGAAUAUUGGACAAUGGGCGCAAGCCUGAUCCAGCCAUGCCGCGUGAGUGAUGAAGGCCCUAGGGUUGUAAAGCACUUUAGGCUAGGAAAGAAAAGACUUCACCUAAUACGUGAAGCCUUGACGGUACCAGCAGAAUAAGCACCGG
rnacentral:rRNA from 1 species